rfam:Listeria grayi DSM 20601 genomic scaffold SCAFFOLD2, whole genome shotgun sequence.
AAAGGGCUACAAUAAGCAAGUCGUAUAAGUUCGGAAAUAGGGUCCGGACGUUUCUACCAAGCAACCGUAAAUUGCUAGGCUACGAGCUGCAUAUAGGAGUGU